UUUCCGUAGGUGAACCCGCGGAAGGAUCAUUCAUAAUAAAGUGUUUUAUGGCACUUUUUAAAAAUCCAUAUCCACCUUGUGUGCAAUGUUAGAUCUCGUCAAUCUUGGCGAGAUUUUUAUACAUCAACUCAUUCUUUAACUAAUUUGUCUGAAAAAUAUUAUGAAUACUUAAUUCAAAAUACAACUUUCAACAACGGAUCUCUUGGCUCUC
rnacentral:misc_RNA from 1 species